rnacentral:rRNA from 1 species
GACGUAGGGCGCGAGCGUUGUCCGGAUUUCUUGGGCGUCAAGAGCUCGUAGGCGGCUUGUCGCGUCGACUGUGAAAUCCCGCGGCUCAACUGCGGGUCUGCAGUCGAUACGGGCAGGCUAGAGUUCGGUAGGGGAGACUGGAAUUCCUGGUGUAGCGGUGAAAUGCGCAGAUAUCAGGAGGAACACCGAUGGCGAAGGCAGGUCUCUGGGCCGAUACUGACGCUGAGGAGCGAAAGCGUGGGGAGCAAACAGG